GAUGAACGCUGACAGAAUGCUUAACACAUGCAAGUCUUUGGCAAAGCUGUGCUUGCACAGCCUAGCCAAGGCGGACGGGUGAGUAACGCGUAAGGAACUUGCCCUGCAGUCAGGGAUAACAGACGGAAACGACUGAUAAGACCUGGUAAAGUCAGGCGGACUCAUGUCCAGCCUGAUGAAAAGAGAUGCUGCAGGAGAGCCUUGCGUCCUAUUAGCUUGUUGGUGGGGUAACGGCCCACCAAGGCGAUGAUAGGUAGCCGGCCUGAGAGGGUGGACGGCCACAAGGGGACUGAGAUACGACCCUUACUCCUACGGGAGGCAGCAGUGGGGAAUAUUGGACAAUGGGGGCAACCCUGAUCCAGCAAUUCUGUGUGCACGAUGAAGGUUUUCGGAUUGUAAAGUGCUUUCAGCAGGGAAGAAAAAAAUGACGGUACCUGCAGAAGAAGCGACGGCUAAAUACGUGCCAGCAGCCGCGGUAAUACGUAUGUCGCAAGCGUUAUCCGGAAUUAUUGGGCAUAAAGGGCAUCUAGGCGGCCAGAUAAGUCUGGGGUGAAAACUUGCGGCUCAACCGCAAGCCUGCCCUGGAAACUAUGUGGCUAGAGUACUGGAGAGGUGGACGGAACUGCACGAGUAGAGGUGAAAUUCGUAGAUAUGUGCAGGAAUGCCGAUGAUGAAGAUAGUUCACUGGACGGUAACUGACGCUGAAGUGCGAAAGCUAGGGGAGCAAACAGG
rnacentral:rRNA from 1 species